AUUGAACGCUGGCGGCAGGCCUAACACAUGCAAGUCGAAUGGUAACAGGAAACAGCUUGCUGUUUCGCUGACGAGUGGCGGACGGGUGAGUAAUGUCUGGGAAACUGCCUGAUGGAGGGGGAUAACUACUGGAAACGGUAGCUAAUACCGCAUAACGUCGCAAGCCCAAAGAGGGGGACCUUCGGGCCUCUUGCCAUCAGAUGUGCCCAGAUGGGAUUAGCUAGUAGGUGGGGUAACGGCUCACCUAGGCGACGAUCCCUAGCUGGUCUGAGAGGAUGACCAGCCACACUGGAACUGAGACACGGUCCAGACUCCUACGGGAGGCAGCAGUGGGGAAUAUUGCACAAUGGGCGCAAGCCUGAUGCAGCCAUGCCGCGUGUAUGAAGAAGGCCUUCGGGUUGUAAAGUACUUUCAGCGGGGAGGAAGGGAGUAAAGUUAAUACCUUUGCUCAUUGACGUUACCCGCAGAAGAAGCACCGGCUAACUCCGUG
rnacentral:rRNA from 1 species